rnacentral:rRNA from 1 species
GACGAGCGCUGGCGGCGUGCUUAACACAUGCAAGUCGAACGGUGAAGGGACUGGUUUUGCUGGUCCUGGAUGAGUGGCGAACGGGUGAGUAACACGUGAGUAACCUGCCCCCUUCUUCUGGAUAACCGCAUGAAAGUGUGGCUAAUACGGGAUAUUCUGGGUCUGUCGCAUGGUGGGCCUGGGAAAGAUUGCGCCUUUUUUGGUGUUUUUGGUGGGGGAUGGGCUCGCGGCCUAUCAGCUUGUUGGUGGGGUGAUGGCCUACCAAGGCGGUGACGGGUAGCCGGCCUGAGAGGGUGGACGGUCACACUGGGACUGAGACACGGCCCAGACUCCUACGGGAGGCAGCAGUGGGGAAUAUUGCACAAUGGGCGCAAGCCUGAUGCAGCGACGCCGCGUGAGGGAUGGAGGCCUUCGGGUUGUGAACCUCUUUCGCCAGUGAAGCAGGCCUGCCUCUUUUUGUGGGUGGGUUGACGGUAGCUGGAUAAGAAGCGCCGGCUAACUACGU